CCUACGGGGGGCAGCAGUAGGGAAUUUUGCGCAAUGGGCGAAAGCCUGACGCAGCAACGCCGCGUGAUUGAUUACGCCCUUCGGGGUGUAAAGAUCUGUCAGUGGGGACGAAACUUGACGGUACCCACGGAGGAAGCACCGGCUAACUCCGUGCCAGCAGCCGCGGUAAUACGGAGGGUGCAAGCGUUGUCCGGAAUCAUUGGGCGUAAAGAGUUCGUAGGUGGCAUAUUAAGUCUGGUGUUAAAUGCAGAGGCUCAACUUCUGUUCGGCACUGGAUACUGGUAAGCUUGAGUGCGGUAGAGGUAAAGGGAAUUCGUGGUGUAGCGGUGAAAUGCGUAGAUAUCAGGAGGAACAUCGGUGGCGUAAGCGCUUUACUGGGCCGUAAUUGACACUGAGGAACGAAAGCCGGGGUAGCAAAUGGGAUUAGAUACCCGAGUAGUC
rnacentral:rRNA from 1 species